rnacentral:rRNA from 1 species
AUUGAACGCUGGCGGCAUGCCUAACACAUGCAAGUCGAGCGGAUGGAUGGAGCUUUCUCCUGGCUUCAGCUGCCGACGGGUGAGUGAGUCCUACGUAUCUACCCUGCCUUUGGGGCUAACGUCCCUUCACGGGCGCUGAUCUCGCGUCCGUCCUGAUGGUGAAAGUGGGGGUUCUUUGGACCUCACGCUUUCUGCUGUGCCUAGGUCGGAUUAGCUAGUUGGUAGGGUAAAGGCCUACCAAGGCGACGAUCCGUAACUGGUCUGAGAGGCUGAUCAGUCACACUGGAACUGAGACACGGUCCAGACUCCUACGGGAGGCAGCAGUGGGGAAUAUUGGACAAUGGGCGAAAGCCUGAUCCAGCCAUGCCGCGUGUGUGAAGAAGGUCUUCGGAUUGUAAAGCACUGUAAGUAGGGAGGAAGGGAAGUAAGUUAAUACCUGGCUGUUUUGACGGUACCAAAAGAAUAAGCACCGGCUAACUACGUG